ensembl:lncRNA
GGAUUACCAUGAUGGCAGUGUUUGCUCUGACAGCAACAGGAGGCUUAAUAGGGUCCGGGGGUUAGAGAGCUGGGGUCAGACGUCCGUCGCCUUACGAUCCCCACUGUUUGUCCAGGCUGGUUGUGUUUGGAGCACAUGGCAUCACUCCACACGUCUUCUCUCAGUACUCCUGUUCUACGUGUCAGCUCGUGUAUUCAUCCACGUAAGAGGAGGAUUAAGCCGCUUCCUUACAUGACUUUACUGUAUUUAGCCAACAAGAUUGUGUGCGUUCAUUAGGAACAACAAUUGUCAAAAUGUGUUGGAAAAUGUGUAAUUGUUGCUAUGCAGAGUAGUACAUGGUAGGACGUGUCAUGACGUUAUCCAGUGGCCACAAGAGCACCCAGGAAGUGC